GACGAACGCUGGCGGCGUGCCUAACACAUGCAAGUCGAACGAAGCACUGCGGAAAGAGACUUCGGUCAAUGGAAGCUUUGACUUAGUGGCGGACGGGUGAGUAACGCGUGAGGAACCUGCCUUUCAGUGGGGGACAACAGUUGGAAACGACUGCUAAUACCGCAUAAAGUGUUUUGGGGGCAUCCCCGGAACACCAAAGAUUUAUUGCUGAAAGAUGGCCUCGCGUCUGAUUAGAUAGUUGGCGGGGUAACGGCCCACCAAGACCGCGAUCGGUAGCCGACCUGAGAGGGUGACCGGCCACAUUGGGACUGAGACACGGCCCAGACUCCUACGGGAGGCAGCAGUGGGGAAUAUUGCACAAUGGAGGAAACUCUGAUGCAGCGACGCCGCGUGAGCGAAGAAGUAUUUCGGUAUGUAAAGCUCUGUCAGCAGGGAAGAUAAAUGACGGUACCUGACCAAGAAGCCCCGGNUAACCUACGUG
rnacentral:rRNA from 1 species